rnacentral:rRNA from 2 species
GGACUACUGGGGUAUCUAAUCCUGUUUGCUCCCCACGCUUUCGCACAUGAACGUCAGUAUUGGACCAGGAAGUCGCUUUCGCCACUGGUGUUCCUUCCGAUAUCUACGCAUUUCACCGCUACACCGGAAAUUCCACUUCCCUCUUCCAUACUCUAGCCAGGCAGUAUCAAAUGCAGUUCCCAGGUUGAGCCCGGGGAUUUCACAUCUGACUUACCAAACCGUCUACGCGCGCUUUACGCCCAGUAAUUCCGAUUAACGCUCGCACCCUCUGUAUUACCGCGGCUGCUGGCAC